rnacentral:rRNA from 1 species
CUGGCUCAGGAUGAACGCUAGCUACAGGCUUAACACAUGCAAGUCGAAGGGCAGCAUGAAAGUAGCUUGCUACUUUGAUGGCGACCGGCGCACGGGUGCGUAACGCGUAUCCAAUCUACCCAUGGCUCAGGGAUAGCCUUUCGAAAGAAAGAUUAAUACCUGAUGGUUUCGCUUUUCCGCAUGGUUUAGCGAAUAAAGAUUUAUCGGCGAUGGAUGAGGAUGCGACUGAUUAGGUUGUUGGCGGGGUAACGGCCCACCAAGCCGACGAUCAGUAGGGGUUCUGAGAGGAAGGUCCCCCACAUUGGAACUGAGACACGGUCCAAACUCCUACGGGAGGCAGCAGUGAGGAAUAUUGGUCAAUGGACGAGAGUCUGAACCAGCCAAGUAGCCGUGAAGGAUGACGGCCCUAUGGGUUGUAAACUUCUUUUGUUUGGGAAUAAAGUGCUCUACGUGUAGAGUUUUGUAUGUACCUUACGAAUAAGCAUCGGCUAAUUCCGUGCCAGCCGCAGC